CCAAGGUCAAGGUGCUGUCAAGAUGCUGUCCAUGUGACCAGGUUACAUAAAUUCUGCAUCUGACAGUGAUGUGACAAGAGAGGUAGAGAAAGAUGGCCAAAAUAGAAGGCUCCCUCUGUCAUCCCCUCUACAAGAACACCAAAUUUAACAACAAUCUACACACAAAAAAGUACAUUCAUAAGAACUAAAAAUCAGGCCCUGUCUCCCAGACAACAUUUCCAGAAAGACACAUCCUCUGCCAGAAGGGAAUCUGCUGCCUUGAAGAGAAGGACUCAGUCCUGGAAGAACUCAUCACCUGAUGAAUACAGAGUCCUUGGGCCCGGAAUAAC
rnacentral:lncRNA from 1 species